rnacentral:rRNA from 1 species
CCUACGGGAGGCAGCAGUGAGGAAUAUUGGUCAAUGGGCGAGAGCCUGAACCAGCCAAGUCGCGUGAGGGAGUACUGCCCUAUGGGUUGUAAACCUCUUUUGUCGGGGAGCAAAAACCGGACGUGUCCGGCUGUGAGAGUACCCGAAGAAAAAGCCUCGGCUAACUCCGGGCCAGCAGCCGCGGUAAUACGGAGGAUGCGAGCGUUAUCCGGAUUUAUUGGGUUUAAAGGGUGCGCAGGCGGAUUUUUAAGUCAGCGGUAAAAUCGUGGGGCUCAACCCCAUCCAGCCGUUGAAACUGGGGAUCUAGAGUGUGCGAGAGGUAUGCGGAAUGCGUGGUGUAGCGGUGAAAUGCAUAGAUAUCACGCAGAACCCCGAUUGCGAAGGCAGCAUACCGGUGCACAACUGACGCUCAGGCACGAAAGCGUGGGUAUCGAACAGGAUUAGAUACCCCAGUAGUC